rnacentral:tRNA from 1 species
GCCCGGUUAGCUCAGUCGGUAGAGCAUUUGACUUUUACGCUGCUUGCAAGGUUGCACGCACUGCGAGAAGCGGUCAUCAAAAUGUCGGGGGUUCGAGCCCCCCAUUGGGCG